rnacentral:rRNA from 1 species
GAGUAACACGUGGGUGAUCUGCCCUGCACUUUGGGAUAAGCCUGGGAAACUGGGUCUAAUACCGAAUAUGACCUUCGGUUGCAUGACCGGGGGUGGAAAGAUUUAUCGGUGCGGGAUGGGCCCGCGGCCUAUCAGCUUGUUGGUGGGGUAAUGGCCUACCAAGGCGACGACGGGUAGCCGGCCUGAGAGGGCGACCGGCCACACUGGGACUGAGACACGGCCCAGACUCCUACGGGAGGCAGCAGUGGGGAAUAUUGCACAAUGGGCGAAAGCCUGAUGCAGCGACGCCGCGUGAGGGAUGACGGCCUUCGGGUUGUAAACCUCUUUCGACAGGGACGAAGCGCAAGUGACGGUACCUGUAGAAGAAGCACCGGCCAACUACGUGCCAGCAGCCGCGGUAAUACGUAGGGUGCGAGCGUUGUCCGGAAUUACUGGGCGUAAAGAGCUUGUAGGCGGUUCGUCGCGUCGUUCGUGAAAACUUGGGGCUCAACCGCGAGCUUGCGGGCGAUACGGGCGGACUAGAGUACUUCAGGGGAGACUGGAAUUCCUGGUGUAGCGGUGAAAUGCGCAGAUAUCAGGAGGAACACCGGUGGCGAAGGCGGGUCUCUGGGAAGUAACUGACGCUGAGAAGCGAAAGCGUGGGUAGCGAACAGGAUUAGAUACCCUGGUAGUCCACGCCGUAAACGGUGGGUACUAGGUGUGGGUUUCCUUCCACGGGAUCCGUGCCGUAGCUAACGCAUUAAGUACCCCGCCUGGGGAGUACGGCCGCAAGGCUAAAACUCAAAGGAAUUGACGGGGGCCCGCACAAGCGGCGGAGCAUGUGGAUUAAUUCGAUGCAACGCGAAGAACCUUACCUGGGUUUGACAUACACCGGGAACCCUGCAGAGAUGUAGGCCCCCCUUGUGGUCCGGUGUACAAGGUGGUGCAUGG